rnacentral:rRNA from 1 species
CAGUUCGGAUUGCAGGCUGCAACUCGCCUGCAUGAAGUCGGAAUUGCUAGUAAUCGCGGAUCAGCAUGCCGCGGUGAAUACGUUCCCGGGCCUUGUACACACCGCCCGUCACACCAUGAGAGCCGGUAACACCCGAAGUCAGUAGUCUAACCGCAAGGGGGACGCUGCCGAAGGUGGGGCUGGUGAUUGGGGUGAAGUCGUAACAAGGUAGC